AUUGAACGCUGGCGGCAUGCUAUACACAUGCAAGUCGAACGGCAGCGCGGGCUUCGGCCUGGCGGCGAGUGGCGAACGGGUGAGUAAUGCAUCGGAACGUGCCCAGUAGUGGGGGAUAGCCCGGCGAAAGCCGGAUUAAUACCGCAUACGACCUGAGGGUGAAAGCGGGGGACCGAAAGGCCUCGCGCUAUUGGAGCGGCCGAUGUCGGAUUAGCUAGUUGGUGGGGUAAAGGCUUACCAAGGCGACGAUCCGUAGCUGGUCUGAGAGGACGACCAGCCACACUGGGACUGAGACACGGCCCAGACUCCUACGGGAGGCAGCAGUGGGGAAUUUUGGACAAUGGGGGCAACCCUGAUCCAGCCAUGCCGCGUGCGGGAAGAAGGCCUUCGGGUUGUAAACCGCUUUUGUUCGGGAAGAAAUCCUCUGGGAUAAUACCCCGGGGGGAUGACGGUACCGUAAGAAUAAGCACCGGCUAACUACGUG
rnacentral:rRNA from 1 species